AUACUUACCUGGCAAGGGAGACACCGUGAUCAAGAAGGCAGUUCACCCAGGGCAAGGCUCAGCCAUUGCACUCCGGCUGUGCUGACCCC
rnacentral:snRNA from 8 species